GAUUUGGCCUGCGGGGUUCCUGGGCCCCAACCCUAACCCUAGUUCAUCUGUGGAGGGGCCCCUCCCCAGGAGCCUGGAGCCGCAGCCGCGGGGAUUCGGGACACCUGAGCCCCACCGCAGGACUCAGUCUGCGAGCAUGCAGGAGACCGUGCCCCUUGGGAGGCUGUAGAGCAUUCAGGGCGGGAGAACCAGGAGGGCCCCCAGAGCCCCCAGCGAACUUCGGCGAUCCCUAAACCCAACCUUGAAGCUAAUGCUCACCCCACCCCGCACCCUCACUUCAGCCUGCAGCGGAGCUUGCCACAUAGUGGGCAGAUCUGGCCUGCGAGGCUCCUGGGCCCCAACCCUAAUCCUAGUUCAUCUGUGGAGGGGCCCCUCCCCAGGAGCCUGGAGCCGCAGACGCGGGGAUUCGGGACACCUGAGCCCCACAGCAGGACUAAGUCUGCCACACCGCAGGAAACUGUGCGCCUUGGAGGCCAUAGAGCAUUCAGGGCGGGAGAACCAGGAGGGCCCUCCUGAGCCACCAGCGAACUUCGGCGGCCUCCCGCACCCCAACCCUGAGGCCCACGCUCACCCUCCCCACACCCUCACCUCAGCCCGUGUAGCUCGCCAUACAGCCAGCAGAUCGGGCCUGCGGGGCUCCUGGGGCCUAACCCUAGCCCUAGGUCAGCCGGGGGUGUGGGGGCCUCCCCAGGAGGCUUACACGGCAGCCCAGGGGAAUUGGGAUACCUGCGCCCCACCGCAGGACUCAGCUUGCCACCCGACAGGAAACCGUGCCCCUUGGGGCUCUACGGAGCGUACAGGGCACGAGAACUUGGGGAGGCCCCCGGAGCCCAUCCCCACCUUUGGCAGCCCCCUGUGCCCCAACCCUGAGGCCCAUGCUCACCCUCCCCCAUGGCCUCCUCUCAGCCCUCCACAGAGCUCGCCACACAGCCUGCAGAUUGUCCCUCCCAGGCUCCUGAACCCUAACCCUUACCCUAGGUUGGCCACAGAGGGGUCCCACCCCAGGGUCCUGGCACCCCACUCCGGGGGAUUGGGGACACCCAAGCCCCAACAUAGGACUCAGCCUGCAGCCCACAGUAAACUGCACCAUUUUGGGGAACAACAGAGCAUUCAGGGCAAGAGAAUUGGGGCAACCCCUGAG
rnacentral:lncRNA from 1 species